rnacentral:rRNA from 1 species
ACAAGUACCGUGAGGGAAAGUUGAAAAGCACUUUGAAAAGAGAGUGCAAGAGAACGUGAAAUCGAUAUAAUGGAAGCGAAUGAAGUCGACGUAUCUAACACGUAUUCAGUUUUUGGGCUGUUUCAAUUGCUAUGCUUUUGAUAUUCCGCAAGGUUAUCGGUAUGGUUAAUUGUGCGGUUCAACGAUGCACUUGCGUGUAGAGUGCGACGGGUCGGCUGGUAUCGUCGGUGGAAACUAUUAGAGAGGGCAGUUGGCUUUUGUUGAUUGUGACCUAUAAUAGUGAAAGCCUGAUUGAUGCUGGUUCGAUUACAUUUUGGUGGAGUAUUGGUUUAAACAAUGGUGAUUUCGGCAAUUGUUCGAUUUUAAGUUGAACGCAUGCGUUCGAUUUUUAAUUGGAUUAUUGUUGGAGUUUAACUGUUCCUUUACUCUUCUCGUCGUAUAGUCGGUCACUCAUUCGACCCGUCUUGAAACACGGACCAAGGAGUUUAUAGUACACGCGAGUCAUUGAGUCUUCUAAAUGCUCAAAGGCGUAAUGAAAGUGAAAUCGUUUAACGGUUUGAACGUGAUCGGUAAAUUUGUUUUCGCGAACGGUUACCGAGCAGCGUUGCCCCAUAUCUGGAACUUGUUCUGGUGUGGAGGUUGAGCGUGUGCAAUGAGACCCGAAAGAUGGUGAACUAUGCCUGAACAGGAUGAAGCCAGAGGAAACUCUGGUGGAAGUCCGAAGCGGUUCUGACGUGCAAAUCGAUCGUCUGAUUUUGGUAUAGGGGCGAAAGACUAAUCGAACCAUCUAGUAGCUGGUUCCUUCCGA